rnacentral:rRNA from 1 species
GCAGUCGACGGCAGCACGGACUUCGGUCUGGUGGCGAGUGGCGAACGGGUGAGUAAUACAUCGGAACGUGCCUAGUAGUGGGGGAUAACUACUCGAAAGAGUGGCUAAUACCGCAUGAGAUCUACGGAUGAAAGCAGGGGAUCGCAAGACCUUGUGCUACUAGAGCGGCCGAUGGCAGAUUAGGUAGUUGGUGGGAUAAAAGCUUACCAAGCCAACGAUCUGUAGCUGGUCUGAGAGGACGAUCAGCCACACUGGGACUGAGACACGGCCCAGACUCCUACGGGAGGCAGCAGUGGGGAAUUUUGGACAAUGGGCGAAAGCCUGAUCCAGCAAUGCCGCGUGCAGGAUGAAGGCCUUCGGGUUGUAAACUGCUUUUGUACGGAACGAAAAGCUUCGGGUUAAUACCCUGGAGUCAUGACGGUACCGUAAGAAUAAGCACCGGCUAACUACGUGCCAGCAGCCGCGGUAAUACGUAGGGUGCAAGCGUUAAUCGGAAUUACUGGGCGUAAAGCGUGCGCAGGCGGUUUUGUAAGACAGAGGUGAAAUCCCCGGGCUCAACCUGGGAACUGCCUUUGUGACUGCAAGGCUAGAGUACGGCAGAGGGGGAUGGAAUUCCGCGUGUAGCAGUGAAAUGCGUAGAUAUGCGGAGGAACACCGAUGGCGAAGGCAAUCCCCUGGGCCUGUACUGACGCUCAUGCAC